rnacentral:tRNA from 1 species
GGCCGGAUAGCUUAGAGGUCAAAGCUUUUCCGAUUAAUGGAAGCGACCCAGGUUCGACCUCCUGGUCCAGCCG